rnacentral:rRNA from 1 species
UACGAAGGGGGGCUAGCGUUGCUCGGAAUCACUGGGCGUAAAGGGCGCGUAGGCGGCCAUUCAAGUCAGGGGUGAAAGCCUGUGGCUCAACCACAGAAUUGCCUUUGAUACUGUUUGGCUAGAGACCGGAAGAGGUAAGUGGAACUGCGAGUGUAGAGGUGAAAUUCGUAGAUAUUCGCAAGAACACCAGUGGCGAAGGCGGCCUUACUGGUCCGGGUU